CUCCGACGAAAACUAAAAAAGAAGAAUUCCUCGAUCCGCACCGAACGAUCAUCUGCGUGCGUUCUCACCGAGAGAACAGAGCGGCAACGAUGGGUUCCGAGACGCGCCUGGUGGAUCUACUGCGAGGCGAGAUCCCCUUCGAGGAGGAAGCCGACUUCGAUCUCUCACUCCGACCUGAUUCAGGCACCUCUCUGGGCCUCGUUCUUGUCGACAUCCUCAAUGGAUUCUGCACCGUCGGAGCUGGCAACCUCGCCCCGAUCGAGCCGAACAGGCAGAUUUCCUCCAUGGUAGAGGAGGCAGCGAGGUUAGCUAGGCAUUUCUGCGAGAUGGAGUGGCCUGUGCUCGUCUUCCUCGAUUCCCACCACCCAAACAAGCCUGAGCCUCCUUAUCCGCCUCACUGCGUUGUGGGAUCAGGGGAGGAGGAUCUGGUUCCUGGUACCUUCUCCCUACUCGUUUAGGGUUGAAGCUAACUUGUUUGUUGAAUUGCCUGUGUGGAUUUGUUCCAAUAAGUUAGAAGCUUUUUGUGGAUCUGCAAUAUAUCAACUCUACUUGUUGAAGAAUUCUUACUAUAGAUCCUGAAUAGUUAAAUAAAUGGUGCCUUUUCUCAUAGACUCUCUUUUUGGGUUUCUUUCUGUAGAUCAUGAAUGCCAAUGUGAUAAAAUAUCCACUAGUUCAAUCGGCCAUUAGAAGGAAGGUAAAUACAUGUAUAGGGCUGAAAGAUAGAUGCAUGUGUAAAUGGGGAUUGAUCAAGGAAUUAUAGCAGAACUAAUUGGAUUAGUACCUUAGGCUUAGGAUGUUCGGAGUUCUAGAAAGAGAAAAAUACUAAAGAGGAAGAAGUUAGACCAUGAGCCAAGUUGUACCGACAUUGCAAACCAUGAGUGAAGUCGUUGCCGUCUUGGGACCUUGUGGAAGCCUCACUGAUCUCAUGCAGAAUUGUUGCCAUCCCACGAGUUCAAGUAUCGUCUCAUGCAAGUUUUGUGUUAGUCGACUGAUGGAAAGAGAAGUUUCUCUUAUCCAAACAAGUGCAGAAUGAAAUUUUAAUCCAUACUUAUUGCUAUAAAGUAAUACCUUUUGAUUUGAUAAAUGCAAGUGAUGUAUCACCAAAAUCGAAUCAAAACUCAAAUUGAGAAUUAAUACUAAAUAUACGUGUAGCACACAGUGGUAACUAUUUCUCAAAGAGAUCCAAUUCAUGCAAAAAAAAAAAAAUCUCAUAAGAUUAAUAGUUUAUUAGAAUAAAAAAGUCCUAAGAGGUGUAGAUCCUCAUAUAAAAAUCGAUAAGAAGUUAUUUAGUGAUGGAAGAUCAAGACAAGAAUAGAGAAUGCCCCAUCAAACUUUGUGAACGACACUUUGAAGAGCUCGAUCCAAAGGGGUAACUAAUUGGGGGUAAAAUACACAUUAGUACAACCGAUGCGUACAAAGUUGAAAUAACAUGUUUGAAUAGGGCUAAUCUGAGGAUAUAUGCAGGCAGAAAAGUGUUAAUGCAAUAGAGAGCAACAUGAUAGAAGUUAGUUCUAAGCCAAAGAAAGUUUGAUCUGAUAGAAGGGAAGGAUCAAAGAACAUCAAGAUAUAGAGUGACUGUAAUUAUUUAAUCAGUUAUCAAUUUUGCAGCUCUAAAAUGGCUGGAGGAGGACCCAAGCGUGACAAUCCGACGCAAGGACUGCUUCGACGGGUUCAUCGGCUCCAUGGAGAAGGAUGGCUCUAAUGCAUUCUCAAAGUGGGUAAAAGCUAAUCAGAUCAAAACUAUUUUGGUGGCGGGAAUAUGCACAGACAUAUGUGUGCUAGAUUUCGUGUGUUCCACUCUCUCUGCCAGAAAUGUGGGCAUGGUGCCACCUCUGGAGGAUGUUGUGGUUUAUUCUGGUGGAUGUGCUACUUUCGAUUUCCCAAUUGAUGUCGCUAGAAAUAUCAAAGGAACUUUAGCACAUCCACAGGAUCUGCUCCAUCAUGUAGGACUUUACAUGGCCAAGGCAAGGGGUGCCAGGAUAGUGAAGAAAGUAACCCUUGGCUCAUCAAUCUAAGUCGACUCUAAAUAUGCUUACAAGAAAAACAAAACAAAAGAGUGCUUCCUGCUAUCGACAUCAGCAGCUCAGAUAAAUCCUUCAUCUUCGUAAUGUUAAUGUUGUAGAUUUCUUCUAGUAUGGGUGGUUUGAUACUCUACUUUUUUUUAUAUUUCUGAGCAUGAAAUGAAUGUUUGUCAUAUAAGCAACAAGAAAUGAAUGGAUUGUGAUUUACUGUGCAUAUUUGAAACAAAAUGCGUGAAGCUCUUCUUUGCUUAGUGGGUGCCCAUUAGAGAAUCCAAAGCUUUCUUGAACAUCAUCCUUGUACGAAUAUGAAUGGGAAUCGCUACUCCAUGCUUUCAUAUUGUUGUGUAGAGAGGUUAAUCCCUCACGCAUGUUGAACUGUCUUCUAUGAUUCUAUAAUCAUCAAUAAUGUUUUCUGCCCGAACGUGAGAACAUGAGGUUCUUCCUAUAGGUUCCACACCACCAUGAACUCGAUUCAUUAUUUCGACUAAAUUCUCUUUGUAGGAUUGAUAUACUUGCUUUCGAAUGUCUAUAACACCUUGUGGCAUACAUUAUUGAGAUAGCAGUUUGUACCAUGAAUAGCAAUAUUUUUAAAUUCUUGUUUAGAUUGGCCUUCACUAGGAUAGCUAUAAUGGAUUGACGAAUAAUUGAGUUGAAGGGAAAGGAUCCUCUGGUCCAUGUCUUUUGGACUAGGAGAUGGUCCACAACUCAAUUGCAAUCGGAUCGUGGUUGCAAUCUGAUCCGAUCAUAAUUGGUUACGAUCCUCUUGGGUUCACCUUCCCAUUCAGGUUAUAGUUUGAGUCAGGACAGAUGGCGAAGGCUAUCACGGUGGGCGGGUGGCUGGGCUACCGGGCGUCGAGCGAGGAGCGGCCUGUAAGUACCCCGUGAUGAUUUUGAUGUGAUCAACCAAGUCAAAUUAGGUCUUGUUAUUAUUGUGAUGUCUUGUGUCUAAGUGUGUAGAAACUUUGGAGCACAGAAAGUUGAGCGAAAGACGCAGCUAGAACAUCACUUGUAAAAUGACUUAUAUUCUUGUUCUACUACUUUUGUGAGCUAUCAAUGGUGUAAAGAGGCUACUCCGCCUAAAGAAGACUUGAGUGAACUUCAUUUGCAUAGGAUUAGCAAUCCUCUUAUUACAAACCUAGUAAAUUCUCUUGCCUUUACUCUUUAAUUUAUGCAUUUGCAUUUUGUUUUCAUACAAGUAUUUUCUUAAGUAAGUUUGAAACGUCGAGAAAGGUUGAUUUUGAUUUUUCAGGGCAAUUCACACCCUCUUGUCGGCCGCUAGGAGACCAACAAUUGGUAUCAAAGCAAAGACGCUUCAGAAGGACUAACCACCCACCGACUGAAGCAAAAUCAAUGGUUGGACCAAGCCUCAUCCCACCAAAGUUCGAGAGGGAGACUGCAUACUAGAAACGUCAAAUGGAGGUAUUCCUAAAAAUCGACUUUGAAAUUCUUUUAAUAAUUAAAUACGAUUUGCAGUUUCAAAAGAUCAACAAGGCGUAGAGAAAGAAGAAUACCUCUGAUGAAGAAGGAGCAAAGCGAUUUCGUAGCCAACAGUAAAGCGAAAUAUUACUUAUUAAGUGUAGUACCGCCUCAAGAAGUAAAUCGCAUCUGAAGCUACACAUCGGCAAAAGACCUCUGGGAGAAAUUCUUGGAACUCCACAAAGAAACAUCUGAAGAAAAACUAGCACGACGGGACAUUCUUCAAAACAAGCUAACGAACAUCCGUCUAGAAAAAGUUGAGAAGGUAGUCAAACUACAUGCAAAGAUCAAGGAGCUAAUCACCGGACUGGUCAACCUCGACGAAACGAUAACAAAACGAGACUCGGUAUGCUACACACUCAACACUUUUCCUAGGACUCCAGAAUAAACCUUAAUAAUCGACGUCUACUACAUCUCAAAGAAUCUGCAGGUAAGUACCCUAGAGGAACUCUUUUCAACUUUAGAAUUAUAUGAAACCAGAUGUGCAGGGACAACAAAAGAAUCAAGCCAGAUUCUGGCACUAAAAGCCACCAAAAAGGAUGAACCCGAGUCAGACUCACAUCUGGAAGGAGACCAAGAAGGUUACAUGUGUCAAAAGGAGGGACACAUAAAGGAGGACUGCUCGAAACUCAAAAAAAAAAAAAGACAAGAGGCCCAAGCAAAACAACCACAAGAAUCUCAAGGCCACUUGGGACGAAAGCUCAUCAUCCGAGUCAGAAAUAGAAACAUACGCUGGUCUAGCAUUGAUCACUAGCCACAAAGAACAAAGUAUCUCAAAAGCCAGCAUCGAUGAAGGGGGAGCAACUUCAUACGAAUGCAA